rnacentral:sRNA from 1 species
AAUGAACAUAUUGCAGCAAUUCUACAAA